rnacentral:lncRNA from 1 species
AUGCCCUGGGACUGUGGGUCACGCGAUGGUAAUGACAGAGCUGCCCGGUUUGUGUCCGCAUCAUGUCCAGACUGCCUGCUUCAGUUGGUGUUCAGAAGACAUAGGCGUCACUUAAUGACCUGCUGUUCAAACUAUGCUCUGCGGACAACAUUAAUAGCCUUCCCUGCAAUUGCUGUGCGUACACGUUGACAUGUUUCCAGAUUUACAGCAUGAAGGGAAGAAACAACUUUACAGCAUUUUUAGCACAGAAAAGGAGGAGAGAUUUACAGGACAUAUGAUGGAGCUCUUUUCUUCCUCUGCUUGCUAACAAAAGCAUUUGGGAAGCACGGUUUUCACUGGCCCUGGAGAUGUUGCCUGGGCUUUGCUGAGCAAGGCUCCUUCCUCCCACUAACUUUGCAUGGGGUCUUUAUGUCACACGAAAUGUGGUCACCUACUAGUUUCUGACUUGCAUAUUCAAAUUCCUAUGACUUAGCUUUAUUGCAGGCCUGUAAAAAGUUUCACAGGGCACUUUGUAAUUUCCCCCAUAACAACCCUUUACGUAUGGAUCAAAGAAUUCUUUAAAUUUUGAAUAAAUUAGUCUAGCAGUUUUUCCUGCUCCCA